GAUAGAGGCCUUUCCUACCACCCACGAGACCGCUGAUACCGUGACCAACAUUCUCCUCCAGCACAUCAUCCCUCGCUUCAGUCUUUCGACCAGCAUUCAGUCUGAUAACGGCCCAGCGUUCAUCUCACAAGUGACUCAGCAGGUGAAGCCCCAGCUGGCAUCCAGCUGCUGGCUUUGCAUCCGAACAGCCCUUCUCCGCAUAUAUGCCACUCCAGUCUACCCUACGAAUGAACGAUAUCCCAAUAGUUAAUCUGACCUCUGUACAGGAAGGACCAAUCUCCCAAGUACAUCUCUCCUCCAAGCCUCAGGGCUGCUUUACAAGUCAAGGUUCCAUUGAGCUUUCUCAGGGAACACGUAUCCACCAUCGCUCCAGUGGCAAUUAAUCAGAUGCUCCUGCACCCCUACGCACCCCUUCCUCAAGACCCUCGACUAGAGGGCGCCAAAUCCACGCUCCUUACAGCCUGAAGCAGCCAGAGAGGUCGUCACCCCUUAUCCUUUGAAGGUCGGAAUGUAAGGUCUGGGGGAAGGGAAAAGAAACAUGGCGGCAACAUU